GUUCAGUUUUGAGUUCGCUGGAAAAUCAUACUGAGACCGAAUACACCACUCUUGCCUUCACCUGCAUCUCUCACAGUAAGGGGACGCUCGUUCAGUUUUCAACUCCAUUCAGAAUCUUAGAAUGUGAGAAUAACAGUGUAAAAGAACCUGUUGCAAAGAGAGCCAAAGCAAAGCAGCCCACUUGGUCAUGGAAACCAGAGACUGACGUUGACAUGUUCCACAGGCUCUGAGAUUCCUGCCUGCACAAGAACCUGGACCACAGCUAAGACCAUGUGAUGCACACACUCCCAUGAGUUAUUUUAUGUGAUAG